GUGCACUCACUCUGUCGUCGUCAGCCCCUUCGUCUUCUAUUUAUUCUCUCAGUGAUGUCUUUGCCGUCCGUGUAUGUGUGUGUGUGUUUGGGUGUGUGCACUGCGUGUGGCACUGCGUGUGUCGCCGUGGGGCCCCGGCGUGCGUGCAUGAGCAUGUUUGGGUGCUUCUGCGUUGUCCCUCCUUGCCGCUGUUAGUUACACUCGCCCGCGCUCUCGCUUUCCCAUCCCACGAACUCUUGUCACAGAGGCUAUGUUUGGGCCCCUUCUCUAUUUUGUUUUUCCGACGUUUUGGGUUCGUACGCGGUGUCCCUCAGCAGCAGCGGCAGCAGCGAAAUCAUGGUGGAUGGGCGCGCGCGCGUGUGUGUUUGUAGUGGUUGCUCUUCCUUUGCAUCUUCUUCGCGUUUUGAGGGGGGAGGGUUUGGAAGUGAAAGUCCCCUUCCGCCCGCCCCCACCCCUCCCUCCCAUGGACCCGAUCGUCGCCUUUCUAUUUGUUGCGUGCUCGGUGUCUCCCUCUCUCCUUGUGCAUGGGUGGGUAUGGUGGCGUGCUCACGAUGUUGCCCCGCCUUUCUAAUUGUAUCCCUCCUGCCCACUGAAGCGCAUGACGCCGCGCCACCGUCCCACACCACACCACACCACACCACACCACCACUCUCGCUCUUCACGUACACGGGCACAUAAAUGCAUGUGUAGGAGGGGGUGCCGACCGCGCAAGUGCCUCCUCCCCACCUCUCCUCAACAGAGAAAACAGCGCCGGCGCUUGAUAGACUCCAACGAAUAGCAGAGGGGCUGAGAGGCAUGCGUACACCUACAUGACGGCGCCGCAAAACAGCCCACGUUGCGGAAGGGAGACCAAAGCCACAGAAAGCAGGAAGGCAGCAGGGCGCGCGCGCACACACCCUCCUCCUCCUCUGGUGCUUUUUGACUCGCCUCUUUGUUGGUUUGCUUGCCGCUCCGCACCUGUGCGUGUAUGCUCGCUGCUCCGCCUUCACCCUGCGGCCUCCGCCCAUUUUUCUCCUCCCGGCACCGCCCUCCUACCCCCCUCCACUGCCUACCUUCCGCGACUGGGCGCCUGAUCACAGUCGUAGAACCUCAUUGGCACGUUUUCUGUUUGCUCUACGUGCAAAGGGCUGGACGAAGGAGCGG
rnacentral:misc_RNA from 1 species